rnacentral:rRNA from 1 species
CGGACGGGUGAGUAAUGUCUGGGAAACUGCCUGAUGGAGGGGGAUAACUACUGGAAACGGUAGCUAAUACCGCAUAACGUCGCAAGACCAAAGAGGGGGACCUUCGGGCCUCUUGCCAUCANAUGUGCCCAGAUGGGAUUAGCUAGUAGGUGGGGUAACGGCUCACCUAGGCGACGAUCCCUAGCUGGUCUGAGAGGAUGACCAGCCACACUGGAACUGAGACACGGUCCAGACUCCUACGGGAGGCAGCAUG